UCCCAGACUCCUACGGGAGGCAGCAGUGGGGGAUAUUGCACAAUGGGGGAAACCCUGAUGCAGCGACGCCGCGUGUGGGAAGACGGUCCUCUGGAUUGUAAACCACUGUCCCCAGGGACGAAGAUGACGGUACCUGGGGAGGAAGCUCCGGCUAACUACGUGCCAGCAGCCGCGGUAAUACGUAGGGAGCGAGCGUUUUCCGGAAUUACUGGGUGUAAAGGGAGCGUAGGCGGGACUGCAAGUUGGGUGUCAAAUCUACCGGCUCAACCGGUAGCCGCUCUCAAAACUGCAGUUCUUGAGUGAAGUAGAGGCAGGCGGAAUUCCUAGUGUAGCGGUGAAAUGCGUAGAUAUACGGAGGAACACCAGUGGCGAAGGCGGCCUGCUGGACAUUAACUGCCGCUGAGGCGCGAACGCGUGGGGAGCAAACAGGAUUAGAUACCCCCGUAA
rnacentral:rRNA from 1 species